GGUCCUUGAGACCAUAGAUGCUGUGGUUAGAAUAGAGAAAUUGACGUUCCUGGCUUGGAAGCUUCUCUCAGUUUUUAUCUGCUCCGAAGGGUGGCUCUGUCUGCCCUGCCUGGGGGGGCUGGGCCAGACCUGUGUUCCUUUUGGGUCUGAGAACUUGUCCAGGACCCUGGAAGAACGGAAUAUGUUAUAUUUUAGCAAGAUCACUGGCUUUGAGAAAAGAAACCUUACAGCUGGUGGCCCUAGGCUGGUGUGGGUCCAGCCUGCCUAGCCCAGCCCUGCCUGUGGGAGGUGGCUGGCUCCUGUCAAUCAGUCCCAAGAGACUGAUUGAAGCAUAUUUGAAAUCUUGGGGGGAUUGUUCUGACCACCUGGUAAGCUUUUGAGUCACCGCCUUUUGGUGCCAGCUGUUGCGUGAGCAGGGAACAGGAGCCCAAGCAAAGUGUAAUUAGGAAGGCAAAUCUGCCGCUAAAACCUCGCCUUGAUGAACACCAGGCUGAGGGUCCCCGCAUUGCUUCCCUUCUCGACUGUGCUCUAUUCUGAAUGGGAGGGUGAAACCAUCUUGGGGCACUGCCUCCGUUCUUUUGCAUCAUCCUGAUUGGCAGUGUUCAUUUCAGGAAUCUGAGACACCAGGCAUUCAGUGGACGUGCGUAUGACUGGAAAGUAGAAUCUCACUUCAAUUUUAUGUUCUGGAGCGUAUCUGUGUUAGUUUGCACGAGUGGGAGUUGGUUCUUUGGGAAUUCCUAAUUGCUUUGAGUGGGAUAAGCAUGGAGCGAGACCUUUAAAAGAUGAGGUUCGUUUCAUAAACCCACUGUGUACUAGCUGUGUGGCUCUGGGCAAGGUUACUUACCUGUCGGACUUCCGGUUCCUCAGUUACAAAAAGCAGGGACUAUGAUUUGCAGGGCUGCUGUGAGGACUAGGUGAAAUGCUGGAUCUUGCACAGUGUCUGGAGUGUUAAUUACAUGUGGGUAAUUAUGUGUGAGAUGCUGGCCAUCCUCCUUCUCGAGAGGAAAAAAAACAAAGUCAGAUGAAAAUCUAGUAGCAGGGAUAUCAGGCCGGAAGGUGUAGAGGACUUUGGUAGUUUUGUGAGUCUACCAGCAGUUAUCCAUUCGAAACAUAGUUUUGGACAUCCACUCUGUGGCAGGCUCUGGGAAUACAGCAGGAGGCAUGACCCUGUCCUAGGUCUUAAGGAGACUUCAAGAGACUGUCACAUCCAGAGAUUACUGCCAUAUGGCUUUGGGAGCACAAAGGAGGGAGAACUUCUCUGAAGAAAUGGCCUCUCUUCAGAGACCUGGCUAGGGAGGGGAGUUCGUCACGUGCAGGUGGGAAGUGGAGUAGGGUCCUCCAGCCAGAGUGGACAAGCGUGCUCGGAAGCCCAGAGCGAGGAGAGCGGCGCAUUCAGGGAACACGGGUAGGCUGUUCAUAGGGAAAUGCUGGGCGGGAAAGCUGGGGAUGGUGCACCAUCUGCUCCAGGCUUGAGAACCAGGGCUGAUAAUAAAAGACGCUUUUCCAUAAUCAAGGCACCUACCUGCGCACAGGCAGAACAGAACCAACCCUUCUGCGGUGAGAGAUCUCCUUUCUCCUCUUCUGCCUUUCUCUUCUUCCCAAGUUCGAGGCUCCUUCCAGCAUAAAAAUUUCCGUUACUGAAGGAAGGAAUCCAAGCACCAGCAUUACGUUGCUUUCAAACUAGAAUGUUUAAUGUCAGGCAUUUUCUGACGGGGAUCACCUUUGGAAAAUGAAAGGCCAGUGAACAAUUAGAAUUACAAAUUGUCUCAUUUUCCUUCGGUGUUUUCUUUGAAGACCAGUUGGGUGGAAACAGACCCAAUUAUUUCUUUAUCACAUAUAAAAUACCCCAAAAGCCUGAGCCAAGCCUUCCUUUAGGUUGGUGAAUUACAUGGAGGAGAGGGCAGCCUAUUUCUAACCUGCACUAUUAAUUACAGGGCUCUUGUAAAAAAGAAUUAAGCCUGGAAAUGCAGCUGGCAAGCUGACAUCUAGUUCCGUAAAUAAUUGACAGUCAAGCCAUUAUUUUCCUGAAAACUAGAAAUUGUUCAACGUACUUUCCUGAUUAGCACCUAAAUAAUAAAGUAAUUAUGUAAUUAGUAAGUAAUUUGUCACUUCAGGAUGUAAAUUUAAUUUAUUAUCUUUUCUUUUAAGCUUGGCACCAGAGGUAAUAGAGGCAGUAUCUGUGUUCACUGUAUUUCAAGGGGCAGGCCGGGCAGGCAGGGGCUGUGUCGGAGAUAAGCACGCUCUCAGUGAGAAGAGGCCUGCAAGUUAGGAUCCCAGGACCCCUUUACAGGACUUCGAAUAACUUUUUGCCAUUAUUUUUAGUAUAUUCUUAGACACUGGAUAAGAAUUGAUUUUUUCGAGGACAUGCGAGGUGUAUGUUUUUGCAUGUGAUGACGCGUGUGAGGACGUGCAAGGUGUAUGUUUCUGUAUGUGAUGACGCGUGCGAGGACAUGCGAGGUGUGUUUUUGCAUGUGAUGACACGUGCGAGGACGUGCGAGGUGUAUGUUUUUGCGUGUGAUGACGCGUGCGAGGACGUGCAAGGUGUAUGUUUAUGUGAUGACGCGUGCGAGGACAUGCGAGGUGUGUGUUUUUGCAUGUGAUGACGCGUGCGAGGACAUGCGAGGUGUGUGUUUUUGCAUGUGAUGACGCGUGCGAGGAUGUGCAAGGUGUAUGUUUCUGUAUGCGAUGACGCGUGCGAGGACGUGCGAGGUGUGUUUUUGCAUGUGAUGACGCGUGCGAGGACGUGCAAGGUGUAUGUUUCUGCAUGCGAUGACGCAUGCGAGGACGUGCGAGGUGUGUGUGCGUGCGAUGACGCGUGCGAGGACGUGCGAGGUGUAUGUUUCUGCGUGCGAUGACGCGUGCGAGGACGUGCGAGGUGUGUUUCUGCGUGCGAUGACGCGUGCGAGGACGUGCGAGGUGUGUGUUUUUGCGUGCGAUGACGCGUGCGAGGAUGUGCGAGGUGUGUGUUUUUGCGUGCGAUGACGCGUGCGAGGACGUGCGAGGUGUGUUUUUGCGUGCGAUGACGCGUGCGAGGACGUGCGAGGUGUAUGUUUAUGUGAUGAUGCGUGCGGGGACGUGCAAGGUGUAUGUUUCUGUAUAUGAUGACACGUGCGAGGACAUGCGAGGUGUAUGUUUUUGCAUGUGAUGACGCGUGCGAUGACGUGCAAGGUGUAUGUUUCUGUAUGUGAUGACGCAUGCGAGGACAUGCGAGGUGUGUGUUUUUGCAUGUGAUGACGCGUGCGAGGAUGUGCAAGGUGUAUGUUUCUGUAUGUGAUGACGCGUGCGAGGACGUGCGAGGUGUGUGUUUGUGCGUGUGAUGACGCGUGCGAGGACAUGCAAGGUGUAUGUUUCUGCAUGCGAUGACGCGUGCGAGGACGGGCGAGGUGUGUGUUUCUGUGUGCGAUGACGCGUGCAAGGACGUGCGAGGUGCGUGUUUUUGCAUGUGAUGACGUGUGCUCCUGCAUUCAUUCAGUGGCCACCCUCCGUGCGCCCCUGCUGCGCUUGCACUGAGCUGCAGGCUUUGGAGAUGAGAGAUGAAAGUGGUCUAGCUGUGGCCUUGCUCUUAAGAAGUGUUUUGGUAUCGGCCUGCAGGUCUGUGUAUGUGUGAACACCACUCAUUUGUUUGUUUCAUUCUUUCGUUCAUUCAACAAAUGUUUGCUGAGCCCUUGGCUACUACAUCCAGGAACUAUGCUAAAAGCUGGGCAUGUGGUGACCUACGCAAAAGGGGGCUGCUCUUAAGGAGCCACCAUCCUAAUAAAGGGGACAGGUAAGAAACAGGUAAACACACAGAGAGAGACAGACUUGUAAGUGAUAUGUGCUUUGAAGAAAAUGAAACAGCACCAGGGAAUAGAGAAUGCUGGAAGUGCCAUCUGAGAUGGGAUGGGCUGCCCAGGUAAGGCAGCAUUUUAGCAAAGACUUGCAUAACCCAAAGGAGUGAGCUCCAGGUAUGUAGUCCUAA
rnacentral:lncRNA from 1 species